UACGAAGGGGGCGAGCGUUGUUCGGAUUUACUGGGCGUAAAGGGCGCGCAGGCGGCUUUGUUUUGUCAGGCGUGAAAGCCCCGGGCUUAACCUGGGAACUGCAUUGGUGACUGCAGGGCUAGAGUGUGUCAGAGGGAGGUGGAAUUCCGCGUGUAGCAGUGAAAUGCGUAGAGAUGCGGAGGAACACCGAUGGCGAAGGCAGCCUCCUGGGAUAACACUGACGCUCAGGCACGAAAGC
rnacentral:rRNA from 1 species